rnacentral:rRNA from 1 species
AUUGAACGCUGGCGGCAGGCCUAACACAUGCAAGUCGAGCGGAUGACGGGAGCUUGCUCCUUGAUUCAGCGGCGGACGGGUGAGUAAUGCCUAGGAAUCUGCCUGGUAGUGGGGGACAACGUUACGAAAGGAACGCUACUACCUCAUACGUCCUACGGGUGAAAGCAGGGGACUUUCGGGCCUUGCGCUAUCAGAUGAGCCUAGGUCGGGUUAGCUGGUUGGUGGGGUAAUGGUUCACCAAGGCGACGAUCCGUAACUGGUCUGAGAGGAUGAUCAGUCACACUGGAACUGAGACACGGUCCAGACUCCUACGGGAGGCAGCAGUGGGGAAUAUUGGACAAUGGGCGAAAGCCUGAUCCAGCCAUGCCGCGUGUGUGAAGAAGGUCUUCGGAUUGUAAAGCACUUUAAGUUGGGAGGAAGGGCAGUAAGUUAAUACCUUGCUGUUUUGACGUUACCGACAGAAUAAGCACCGGCUAACUCUGUGCCAGCAGCCGCCGUAA